rnacentral:rRNA from 1 species
GACGAAGGGGGCUAGCGUUGUUCGGAAUUACUGGGCGUAAAGCGCGUGUAGGCGGCUUUGCAAGUCGGGUGUGAAAGCCCUCGGCUCAACCGAGGAAGUGCGCCCGAAACUGCAGAGCUUGAGUACCGGAGAGGGUGGCGGAAUUCCCCAAGUAGAGGUGAAAUUCGUAGAUAUGGGGAGGAACACCGGUGGCGAAGGCGGCCACCUGGACGGAUACUGACGCUGAGACGCGAAAGCGUGGGGAGCAAACAGG